AUGUUGUACCAAUCUGAGCUUUCUUCUAUCGUAUGGCAAAGGUUACUCAUUUCAUGUGACAGACUUUACUAGAAAGAGUUCGAUAAGAGAGAUGUUGGAGUUGUGCAAGGGGAUAAGCGCUAACAAAGAAAAUAAAUAAUUUUAUGCCAUCGAUCAUUUAUUAUGUUGAAUUGACCCGGUGGAAAGCGAGAAAUGAGUUGGUAUUCAACAAGCUAUUAAAGUCCGCAGAUCCAAUCAGUAAGAUUUGAUUACCAAUCUGAAGUUGGAAUCUUGAUGGAAAGUAAAAGUGAGAGGAAGCCAUUGUUGGAGGUAAAGAAAGAGAAUUUUAAAGAAACUAAGAAGCAAAGCAAAUUGUAUGCUUUAGUAUUACUGCCAAUGUUAUUUGAUCAUGCAUGUAGUCAUCUGAGUCUUUGAGUUUGUUUUCCUUAUUGUAAGAUUUUGUUCCCGGUUCUUUAUAAUUGCGUUAAAAACAGUGGGCUUCC
rnacentral:lncRNA from 1 species